rnacentral:rRNA from 1 species
AUGCCGAGGAAAGAGCGGCGGUCAGGUUUGGCAUACAUCCAUAAUGACAAAGAACGUGAUCUCACCUUCUACAAGCGACGUUCCGGUUUGUUCAAGAGGGUGACUGACAUUUCUGCCCUCACUAGGGCUAGGGUUGCGGUCGUCCUAGAAACAAACAUUGGAAAGAUGCACUCAUUUGGGACGCCAUUGGCCGAUCCCAUUGUUGAUGCUUUCCUAUUUGGAACUCCACCAGCAGUUCCCUCUGCCGACGAGGCAACCACUGCUAGGAUUGGAAGCCUACAAAACGAGGUGGCUCAGUUGGACAUGGAGAACAUGACGGAGGAAGACAAAAACAACCUUUCCAUCCUUCGUAUGAAAAAUAUCCAAGAAGAGAAUCCAGGUAUGGUGGCAAAUCUCAUCUUCACGAAGGAACAUGAUCUCAGUCUUGAAGAUCUGAACAAGCUCUUCAGUGAGCUCUCUCGGGUCCAAAAAGACAUUAGAUUCCGGAUACCUCCACUACAUGGUCGUGAAGACAACACCGGUGAUCAUUUGGGUACUACUCAUUUACUUAUGCAGUCAUCGUGGGCUCACAAUCUCUCACAACUCCAGCUACCUUCCGAUCCACUACCAUCACAACCAGAACAAACUUCGGCACCACUUUUUCCUAUGCAGGUACCACAAAUGUUCCAUUCCGCACCACCGUCUUUAGCUCCACACUUGGCUUCCCAUGUCCAACCCAUACCAAAUCAGAUACAGUUGCAUGUUCAGAACUAUGAAAGUCCUUGCAACAUAGUGCAACCGCAACAAAAUGAUGCAAAUCAUGACUCAACAUCUGGGCAGAAUUUGGAGGACUCUCCACUAUUGGGGUACUCGACUGGCAAUGCUUUUUCUAUUGAUGACCCAUUUAACACUGAACAAUGGGGUUAUGCUCUAUCAGAUCAGUCAUGCUACAAUAGUUUCCUAUGCUCUAGCGGUACGGAUCUAGGGCAGUCUUCCAUGGUAAAUGGUGGAUGGGUUGAUGUGCCGCCCUCUUCCACUGGACAAGAUAUUGAUAUUCUUACAGACUAUGGAGAUUUGUUGUAG